GAAUUACGCUCAAAUCUUUCUGCCCUUCGAUGUUAUUUCAAUGGUUGAAACAACAAAAGGAGGAGGAGCAGCAACAAUUGGAAUUGAUUUGGUCUGCUGAUCCCAGCCAAUUCUUGAUGCAAAACCUUUGAUUGGUUGAGAAAUUCAAUGAUAAGUUUGUUCAAAGUCAUUGCUGGAGUAAGUCACAAACCCAUGAUUCAAGUCAGUUAAAAGGGCAAACACAUGCAGCGUCAUGCAACUAGGGAAAUGUAAUGCGAAUCAACGACAACUGCUAUUGCUUACGGUCUUGGUAUGAAAAAGACUAGUGUUGGCCCAACAAAUGGUGGCGCUACAUAUCGAAUUCAUUCGAGACUUUGCAAC